rnacentral:tRNA from 1 species
GGGGAUAUAGCUCAGCUGGUAGAGUGCUUGCCUUGCAAGCACAAGUCCCUGGGUUCAAUCCCCAGCACCA